CAAACAAAUACUUAACCAAAGAAGAAUAUCUUGAGUUUUCAGACUCGGUGCCAUGGAUGGCAUCAAAUGAGGCUGGUUGGCGGGCUGUAUGCAAAUAUUGGGCAACAGAUGGAUUUAAAGGUGUUUCAUUGAGAAACAGCUCAAAUCGUGGGCAUGAUGUUCACCACAGAUAUGGUGGUGAUGGCCACGUUCGUUUGGCAAAGCGCAUGGAAGCUAGUUCUGGUGUUACGCCGAGUGAUGUUCAG